rnacentral:lncRNA from 1 species
AGCCUGUUGAUGGUUGUGCUCAUUUUUGUAUUUGUACAUGAAUUAUGAAUUAAUAAAAAUUAUUUUGGUAUUUUUCAUCACAAAAUAUUUCAUCUUCUAAUGAACUCCUAUGUUGUGGUGAAGUCCUUAGGACUAUUUAGACUCGACAAAGGAGGAUUUGUCAUUUAGUUCAUAAAUCUGUUCGCAACCAAAUGAUAUGUUGUUAUUAAGGACGAUAACGUUUAUCAAGCAU